rnacentral:lncRNA from 1 species
GGAGAAGUAAUAAGAGUCUUGGGGUGGGAGUUGAGAAAGAAAGGAAUGGAGUAGAGUCUUGGAGUUGACUUGGUAUGUUAUGGAAAUGAAGAAAAGGAGAUAAGUUGUAAGAGCCUUGAAGAUCUAAGUGGUUUUGGAUGAAAUAGAAACUAACAGGGGUGGUUGUGGUGCAUGCAAAUUACGUAAGGAGUGGAGAAGAAAAAUUAGAAAAAAUAAAAUGGAAGAAUGCAUGGGAAUGAGGUGUGGGACCGUGACAAUUAAAGAAGGAGGGAGAAGAAUGUUGGUGUGGGUUGUAUUUUACGUAGGAGUGUUUCUCCCUGCACCUCACCUCCUUCUUCCUGUACCUCCAAAAUUACUCAUUUGUCCUUCGUUUAAUAAAUUUAAAGCAUAAUUAAUGAUUAUUUAAAUAUAUUCUAUCCUCCCUGCACCUCCACACUCCCUUCGUGUUCACUUUUAUGGCAUUUUUUUCCAUUCAGUUUUACAGUUUAUAUAUUGCUAUUUCUAGUUCUAAUUCUGAUUCGUGGUGUGAUAGUGCUUGUUGGUCGUGGUGAUACUUGGUGGUGGUGAAGAGAGUAAGAAGAAGAGACAGCUCGUGAAGGUCCUAAACUGCGAAUCGCGUUCGCUUCAGCCGCAAUACGAACUGCGGACAACGAAGAUGCACCCCCAAAAUAAACCAACCGCACUUCGAAAUGCGGUUAAGGGGUGCCGCACUUCGAAAUGCAGUUAAGGGUGCCGCAUUUCGAAAAGGGAUUUUUUUAAUUUUCAAAAAUCACCCCUUAUUUUUAAUUUUCAAAUUGUAAAAUUGGAUUUUUUUAAUAUGAAGAUGCAGAGAAAAAUAUAUAAAGGUGAAAUUAAUGCUUCUAGUUCCCAGUAAUUGAUAUUUGCUUUCAUGUUUGUAUUUUAAGCAAUUAACGUUCAUUUUUUCUGUUAUUCUUUUCCAUAUAAUAAUGAUUAUGAAAUUUAAAAUAUUAAUAAUAAGAUGCAUAUUUUAAAAAUUAAAAUUAUAAUAUUUUAAUUUUAAAGAAUUAUUUGAUACUUUAUUUUUUAAAUUUCAGACCCAUGACUUCAUACACACGAAUAGAAAUACCAGGAAAAUUUGUCUAUAUGUAUAAAUUGAUAGAUAAUAUAUUGGAGUAACAGAGAGAAGAGAAAAUGGUGAAAAUAUAACCAAUUUUAGCACCCUUAACCGCAUUUCGAAAUGCGGCACCUCUUAACCGCAUUUCGAAAUGCGGCACCCUUUAACCACAUUUCCAAGUGCGGCACCUCUUAACUGCAUUUCGAAGUGCGGUUCGUUUAUUUUGGGGUGCAUCUUCCUAUCUCUUCUUCUUCCUCUGCUACACCAAGUAUCACGACCAACAAGCACCACCACACCACGGAUCAGAAAUAGAAAUAGCAAUGUAUAAACAGUAAAACGGAAUGAGAAAGAAAUGUCAUAAAAGUGAACGCGAAGUGUGGGGUGCAGGAAGGAUAAAAUAUAAUUAAAUAAUCAUUAAUUAUGCUUUAAAUUUAUUAAAAGAAGGACAAAUGAGUAAUUUGGGAGGUGCAGGAAGAAGGAGGUGAGGUGUAGGGAGAAACACUCUUUACGUAGAGUGAGAAGAAGAGGGUAGUGAAUGUUGAUGAAAAUAAGUAAAUAAAUAAAAUAAAAGAGUGAGUAAAGAGAGGUGGGCCGUGAGCAUUAAAUGGAGGAGAGAGAAUAGUGAAAUGAAAAUUGUAGUGUUUAGGUGUGUGAAGAAAGGUUACGUAAAUGGUAAAAAGGAGAGAGAAAGAGAGAGUUUGGUGAGAAAUGGAUGAUUUCAUGUGGGACCUACUUUGGAAGUGAGAGAAAAUGUAAAUUAAUGUUCUUUGGGUCCACUUGAAAAGUUGGAUGUAGAAGAGAGUGUGUUUAGAGUAAAAAGGGGGUGUAUUGGAUUUAGACGUUUUCUUUGGUGUUGGGAAUUUGGUAAAAAGUGGGGGUGCAUUAGAAAUGUUCUUCUAGUUGAUGAAAGUACAAAAUUAGUAAUUGUAUGGGGGUGCGUCAGUAAAAA